UUUGUCCCCUGUUAAACAUGAUUUGUCUCUGUCAAGGCUUUGAUCGAUCAAAAUCAAAUCAUUCUGUUGAUAAUCUGUCAAUUUCUCCCUCCAGCCUGAAAAAUGUUGUCACAAAUAUAAAUGUAUGGGGAAGGGGAAAGUCCAUGUUGUAGUUCCAGACAACUGAGAUCCAAAUUUGGACCUGGUGUAAGUGGGACUAACUGCUCUUGAAGUUCAUUCUUCCAUGUCUGCAUCUGAUUCCUGUGGUGCUCUCCCUGUGAGUCAAUUUUAAUACUGAAAUAUUUUACUUCUAAGUACUGACUCCUACAGUUACACCAUUCUGAAUAAACAACCAGAUGAGAGUUCAAUUUCCUGCUAGUCAUAAAACUUUUUAAAUUAAUUUUUUUUAAAAAAAAUAACAAACCUGGGAAUAGAUGACUGUCAACUCAUGAAUCCUUCCAGCUUCAUCUGUUAGCCGUGUGAAGACAGCUGCACCUUCAACUUAGAAGCCUGUAAUUUGUUGGGCCAUGUAGUAGCUCGCUCCGACAGCGUCUGUACAUGGUAGCCAUGGAGUGUUAGAACCCAUCCCCAAAAUCAGGAGACUCACAAGUGUGUUUUGGAACCCCUGUAGCAUCCCUCCCUGUGCUUUCCAAGGUAAUGGAGUGAAACUUGUCUCCUUCCUUUUCUAACUUCUGUUUCCUGUGGAAGGCCGGUGGGGGCUCAGAGGUAACUUAGCCCCAGACUGCUGCCUUUCUGCAUGUCCUCUAUUCCUGAAAACUGAGGCUGUGUGGGGAUAAUGAUACUUGCCUCCCUCAGUGAAGUCCCUUGAUCUACCGAUGAAAAGCACUAUCUGGACAUGUGGUGGUGGUGGUACAUCUUGUCUGAAUGGCUUGGAGGGCAGUGCCACAGCUUGGACAAUCACAAUUCUCAUUCUGUGGGGGCACUUCCAAUUUUCAGAUAAUUAUCUGGAUAAUAAGAAUAUAUCUGUAAAGUUCACCUCUGUCUUGCUGGUGACAAGGACCAAUCUCUAAAAGCAGCAGCAGAAAGCACUGUCACUGCACCUCAGUCCUGACGUGGAGCACUUCCUGCUAGUCCAGUCCUGAGGCCCAGCAACGUUUAUUUUUUCCCACAGGGAUGGAUCAAAAUCUGUUUAUACUUUAUCGCUUGGGCAGAGGAUCCUCUUUUCCUACUGUUCUCUUGUAACUUUGUCUUUCAGAUUUGCCCACUCCCACCUGCUCGUGGAAAGAAUUAAUCUGAUGCAAAUGGGAAGGUCUCACUCGGAGGUUGCCGUUCUUAAUGUAACUGAAACUUAGAGCAGUGUAAUAAAUGAACAUAGGGAACACCACAUGAGACCAAACCAAUGAUCUUUCUAGUCCACUGGCCUGUCUCUGAUGAUGACAAUGCACACUGCUUCAGAGGAAAAUUACUUCCAGUCUCAACACACCUAAAAGGGCAAUGUUAUAUUGCUGAAGUGGAGGAGGUGAGUUUCUUCCUGACAUCAGCUGCUCAUCAGUGUAUGCCAUGGAAUGGGUGGAUUAAUAGCCUUUGUAAUUGCUAUCCUGUCAUGUAUCAUUGCCAAUGCUAUUCUUAGUCAAAGAAACAACUAAUCCUUGUUAGAAUCUUACUUCAAUAAUUUCAUGUGGUGGUGAGUUCCACAGGUUUAUUAUAGGCUACUAAGGAGUUCCAUGAAGUAAUUCUAUUACUUGAUGGUAUGUGUAAAGAGCAUCUGAAGUGUGUGUGCGUGUGUGUGCACACACACCAUUUACAUUCUUUUAUAGAAAUUGUAUACACUGUCACAUCCUUCAUGUAUGUGUAUUUUGAUGCCUGUGCUAUCCCAGUAAUCCAGCAGUAGGUAUUCUGAUGGAUUAUUCUGGAAGUAAAUCUUCGUUAGAUUGGGUGGGGCGGGAAAAGAGAGGAUCUAUAUGCUAAGAGCUUGGGCAUAAGGUAUUGGAAAUCCAGUCUCUUUCUGGAGAAUCCCAAAGCACUUUACACACUUUCUAGACAUUAAAACACACACAUCUCAAAAGAAUCCAACAUCUAGGUGAUGCUUGAUUCAGUUGCACAUGCUAUAACCAAUGCUGAUUUCAGACCAUGGAGCUAAAUAUUCCCUUCCCAAAAUCUUCAGGCCCAGCAGCUUGUGCUCUGCUUGUUCCCUCUGCCUUUGAUGCUGUAGUGGUUGGGAGACUGCUGCAUUCUUGCUCUGUGUCCAGCAUGGCUGAGUUUCUUUUUAGGUAUUUCUUGCACAUUCCUUCUCUGGUUGGUGAAUAUGAAAAAAAAAAAAAUAGAGGUGUGUGCACCGCCUUAUUAAAGAUCAGCUAAUUA